GCACAGGCUGUCCAGCUAAAUAUAUCACUGAGCACAGAGAAGAGGGGCACUAAAGUUGCAGGUCCUUCCAGUUGUGGCGUAUGGGACACCACCUCAACGUGGCCUGAUGAGCGGUGCCAUGUCCAUGCCCAGGAUCAGAGCCAGCGAAACCCUGGGCCGCCGCAGCGUAGCGCGCGAACUUAACCACUCAGCCACGGGGCUGGCUCCUAAAAUGUGAAUUUUCUUAUUCGUGAGGGAUUAUAUGUUGCUCCAGCCUACACAGCAUUCUUUCACUGAGGAACCACCUCUACAUGUCCACAUUGCUGUGAGAGGAGAGGAUGCUCCCAAGCUAAACAGAGAGGGGCAAGUGAGUUAACUUGACAAAUAAGGGCACACUGUCUCUUGGUGGUGGUAAUUUGUAUAAAGAAACGGAAGAAGAAUCAUGAUCCUGAUUUCCCCUAGGAUUGAAAAAUUGAUAUUCUCUAGUCUCCUGUUUUUCAAAAGUAGACAAUGUAAUAUGGAGCUAAGAACAGUCGUGUCUCAGAGCACUUUGGAAGAGCAUAUCUGCAGAAGGAUAUGAAACCAGUAUGCAAAUAGAAAGGAGAGACUGAAAUAAGAGAUGGAGAAAGAAAAUCAAGAAAUGGAAUGACAUUUUUGAGUGUUUGUAUACAGCUUGUCUGAAGAUAAUUCCACAAAUAAAUUUCACAGUUAUAUGAAUUAAUAAUUUUUUUUAUUUCUAAAUAGUAUUGUCUUGGAUUUGUGUUCAGUAAUAAACACUGGGUUUAUGAAUAACGUACCACUGUGGAAGUAUGGUAAACUCCUAAAGCAAAUGCUCAGAGACACCUUAGGUUAUAUACUGGACAUAUGGGUACAAUAUAUAAAGAUUUAAUCUCUGAAAUUUUGUAUGUGCAGAAAUACAUUAAAAGGAAUUUAAUAGUUGGUAUAUUUCAGACUGCUUACUGUGUGUCAGGCAGUCCUCAAAGCACAGUACAUUUUGACGUCGUUAAUUUUCAUGACAAUGAUAAGGAAGGACUAUUAUGUAGCACUUUCAUAGUGGAAGAAAUUGAAGAACAGAGAGGCUAAGUAACUUGCCCAAUUAACAGAGCUAUCAAGGGACAGAGUGAGAAGGGAGUUCUGGUCUUCUAAUUCCAGAGUCUCAGUGCUUGAUGUUUAAUUACUGUCCCAGCAAGGGGCAUUGGAAGUUAUCUCUUGGGCCUGAUGAAAGUUUCAUUGCCCUAAACUCAUGUCAAAUGCUGGCAAUUUGCCUCAUUAUAAUCUGAAUACCAAGUAAUACUCUAUUUAUUCAAAUGAUAUGCUGCUGUAGGGGAGAGCCUAAUCAUUAGAGUGCAAUCUGUGUAAAUAUAUAUAUUUUCUACAGAAAAAUCUAUGAACAAGAGAUUAAAUAGUGUAAAAGUUUUUAUUACUUAGGAAUGGUAUAUUCUCAAAGGAUUGGUAGAACUCAAAUAUAAUAUCAUUGAGGAUAAUUUUUUUAAUUAAGUGUUGUAUUUAUACACCAUUAUUUACUUAUUCUGAUUUACUGCCUAUUUAUGGUCAUGUUAGCAUACUAUAUUUUUCAUAAAAAUCAUCCCUUUAGGUAACAUUUAAAAAAAAAACUGUUACAUAGCAGAGAAGUAUAUGAGAAGCUUAUUAAUUUACUUUUUAAAAAUAAUAAAACAUGAAAUACAGUCUGAUAAAAAAUUAGGGAAAAAGAGAAAUAUAAAAUUAAAUAAUCUUCAUAUUAAAGAAUAUAAAUAAACACACUGGACUUCCAGUUUCUAGCCCAGUCUGUAAGGAACUUAGAAGUCAUCACUCCCAACCUCACUACAAGUAAAACACUGAACAAGCUGAAAAUUAACAACUCUUCUUAAGUUUUUCAGAGACUUGAUGUCACAGGGCAAACCUGUCCCCAAAAUUUGAGGGAUAGACAGGCAGACAUGUAAAAUUAUAGUUUACUUGGGGCUGGCCCCGUGGCUGAGUGGUUAAGUUCGCGCACUCCGCUGCAGGCGGCCCAGUGUUUCGUCAGUUCGAAUCCUGGGCGCGGACAUGGCACUGCUCAUCAAACCACGCUGAGGCGGCGUCCCACAUGCCACAACUAGAAGGACCCACAACUAAGAAUAUGCAACUAUGUACCUGGGGGCUUUGGGGAGAAAAAGGAAAAAAAAAUAAAAUCUUUAUAAAAAAAAAAAAAAAAAAA
ensembl:lncRNA